GACGAACGCUGGCGGCGUGCUUAACACAUGCAAGUCGAACGGAGGUUACGAGGAAGCUUGCGAAUUGUAACCUUAGUGGCGGACGGGUGAGUAACGCGUGGAUAACCUGCCUAUCAGACCGGGACAACACCGGGAAACUGGUGCUAAUACCGGAUACGCUCGCGGGAACACAUGUACCCGCGAGGGAAGGAGCAAUCCGCUGAUAGAUGGGUCCGCGUCCCAUUAGCUAGUUGGUGGUGUAACGGACCACCAAGGCGACGAUGGGUAGCCGGCCUGAGAGGGUGGACGGCCACACUGGAACUGAGACACGGUCCAGACUCCUACGGGAGGCAGCAGUGGGGAAUCUUCCGCAAUGGGCGAAAGCCUGACGGAGCAACGCCGCGUGAGUGAUGAAGGCCUUCGGGUUGUAAAACUCUGUCUUCAGGGAAGAAACAAAUGACGGUA
rnacentral:rRNA from 1 species